rnacentral:rRNA from 1 species
AGAGUUUGAUCCUGGCUCAGAACGAACGCUGGCGGCAGGCCUAACACAUGCAAGUCGAACGCCCCGCAAGGGGAGUGGCAGACGGGUGAGUAACACGUGGGAACCUUCCCUAUAGUACGGAAUAGCCCAGGGAAACCUGGAGUAAUACCGUAUACGCCCGAAAGGGGAAAGAUUUAUCGCUAUAGGAUGGGCCCGCGUAGGAUUAGCUAGUUGGUGAGGUAAUGGCUCACCAAGGCGACGAUCCUUAGCUGGUUUGAGAGAACGACCAGCCACACUGGGACUGAGACACGGCCCAGACUCCUACGGGAGGCAGCAGUGGGGAAUAUUGGACAAUGGGCGCAAGCCUGAUCCAGCCAUGCCGCGUGAGUGAUGAAGGCCUUAGGGUUGUAAAGCUCUUUUGCCGGGGACGAUAAUGACGGUACCCGGAGAAUAAGUCCCGGCUAACUUCGUGCCAGCAGCCGCGGUAAUAC